rnacentral:lncRNA from 1 species
AGACCCGUUCUGGAGAGAAAGGGCUGAGAACCCGGAGGCGGCGGCGGCGGCGGCGAGCCGGGGCUGCUGGUUCGCAGGGCGGCUAGCUCGCGAGGAGGCGCGGCCAGAGCGGUGGGACCGGUAACACCAAGAGCCGAGAAGACGCAGGGACCCGGGACCGCGCGCGGGAGGAAACGCGGCGGCCGCCCAAGCUGUCACCUCCAGCCUCUCCCCUCUCGGCCGCCUCUGCCAGCAGCCAGAGCCGGACUCACUGACAAGCCGCAGAGAGAGACACACUGAGAGGGAGAUGAUUAUUAGUUGCGUUGAGUCAUCAGGCAAACCUUAGGUGCCGGGCUUCAGCCGAAGCGUUUUUCAAAUUUGUCAUCAUUGGAAACCUCGGACAAGUGGAGUGUAAAAUUUUGAGGGUUUCCAGAAUCCAAGGCACUUGAAACAUUCUGAGUGUGCCUGCAGUAGGGUCUCAGAGGAGUUGCUCUGAAAGCUGUUGAGAGCAGCCACCUUUGCUGUCACUGAGAGCUUGGCAGGGUCAGCUCUGGUGGGCCGUUUGCACCCAGGCUCUGAUGGCACCAGGAUGGCUUCCUGCAACCCGACAACAUCACUCAAACAACCCUAUUACU